rnacentral:sRNA from 13 species
AAAUGAAAUUGGUUGGAAAAUUCCCAUAAUGACUAUGCCGCAUUUGUUGUAGGUCCCCACUGCUCCCACCCACUCUGUGACCAAUAAGUUUUCACGCCUAAGCAUUGUUUACGGAACAUUUAACAAUUGCAGCGUCAGCGAAAACAAAAACACAACUCAUUUUAAAUGUAGAGAAGAUGCGGACUUAAAGUGGCUUUAAACAGCCGCUGGACACAUACUUAGUGAGAGGCACUGUCGACCAGUGUAGAGCGGUUGCGGAGGCAGACAUUCGAACGGCGGUAGGACGAAAGGACGAGCCAAGCAAUUGGCUACAUUGUAAGGAUGCGCUGGUGGUGGUGCUGCCUGGCUGGCUGGCUGGCCCAUUCAAUUUUCCGCUUUUUCCAUGCCUGCUUUGCUCAAGCGACAGAUGGACAUUUGGAGAGACAGAUGAAGAGGCGGACAGUCGGACAGACCGGCGUCGUCUUUGAACUUUUCACAAUGCUCUCGUCUUGGGCUGUCCUGAAACAUUUGUACCACACUUUAUGCAGGACAUUUCCGCGC